rnacentral:rRNA from 1 species
AACGAACGCUGGCGGCAGGCUUCAUACAUGCAAGUCGCACGAUUAAGCCCCCCUUCGGGGGGUAGUAAAGUGGCGAACGGGUGAGUAACAGGUGGAUAAUCUGCCUUUUGGUGGGGGAUAACGGCUGGAAACGGCCGCUAAUACCGCAUGUGGUUGCGGGUGCUAGGGCAUCUGCAAAGAAAGGGGCUGAAAGGCCCUGCCAAAAGAUGAGUCCGCCCCCAUUAGCUAGUUGGCGGGAUAAUAGCCCACCAAGGCUGUGAUGGGUAGCCGAGCUGAGAGGUUGAUCGGCCACACUGGAACUGAGACACGGUCCAGACACCUACGGGAGGCUG